AGGGUUUGAUCCUGGCUCAGAACGAACGCUGGCGGCGUGCCUAACACAUGCAAGUCGUGCGAGAACGCUCCCUUCGGGGAGUUAGUAGAGCGGCGCACGGGUGAGUAACACGUGGGUAAUCUGCCCUUGAGUUCGGGAUAACCCGGGGAAACCCGGGCUAAUACCGAAUGCGCCCCAGGAGUCUUCGGACUUCUGGGAGAAAGAUGGCCUCUGCUUGCAAGCUAUCGCUCAUGGAUGAGCCCGCGUCCCAUUAGCUUGUUGGUGAGGUAACGGCUCACCAAGGCUGAGAUGGGUAGCUGAUCUGAGAGGAUGAUCAGCCACACUGGAACUGAGACACGGUCCAGACUCCUACGGGAGGCAGCAGUGGGGAAUUUUGGGCAAUGGGCGAAAGCCUGACCCAGCAACGCCGCGUGAGGGAUGAAGGUUUUCGGAUCGUAAACCUCUGUCAGGAGGGAAGAGCAGUCCCAUGGCCAAUACCCAUGGGACCCGACGGUACCUCCAAAGGAAGCGCCGGCUAACUCCGUGCCAGCAGCCGCGGUAAUACGGAGGGCGCAAGCGUUGUUCGGAAUUACUGGGCGUAAAGCGCGUGUAGGCGGUCUGGAAAGUCGGGUGUGAAAUCCCCGGGCCUAACCCGGGAACUGCAUCCGAAACUUCCUGACUGGAGUCCCGGAGAGGAAGGCAGAAUUCCCAGUGUAGGGGUGAAAUCCGUAGAUAUUGGGAGGAAUACCAGUGGCGAAAGGCGGCCUUCUGGACGGUGACUGACGCUGAGACGCGAAAGCGUGGGGAGCAAACAGGAUUAGAUACCCUGCUAGUCCACGCUGUAAACGGUGCGUACUAGGUGUCGGGGGUAUUCACCCCUCCGGUGCCGCAGGUAACCCAAUAAG
rnacentral:rRNA from 1 species